rnacentral:rRNA from 1 species
CCUACGGGAGGCAGCAGUAGGGAAUAUUGCUCAAUGGGGGAAACCCUGAAGCAGCAACGCCGCGUGGAGGAUGAAGGUUUUCGGAUUGUAAACUCCUUUUUUCAGAGAAGAUAAUGACGGUAUCUAACGAAUAAGCACCGGCUAACUCCGGGCCAGCAGCCGCGGUAAUUCGGAGGGUGCAAGCGUUACUCGGAAUCACUGGGCGUAAAGGGCGCGUAUGCGGUAUAGCAAGUCAGAGGUGAAAUCCUAUGGCUUAACCAUAGAACUGCAUUUGAAACUGUAAUUCUAGAGUAUGGGAGAGGUAGGUGGAAUUCUUGGUGUAGGGGUAAAAUCCGUAGAGAUCAAGAGGAAUACUCAUUGCGAAGGCGACCGGCUAGAACAUAACUGACGCUGAUGCGCGAAAGCGUGGGGAGCAAACAGGAUUAGAUACCCUUGUAGUC